rnacentral:rRNA from 1 species
GGAAUUCGAUUAGAGUUUGAUCCUGGCUCCGGACGAACGCUUGCGGCGUGCUUAACAGAUGCAAGUGGAAGGGUGAACCCGGAGCUUGCUCCGGCGGAUUAGUGGCGAACGGGUGAGUAACACGUGAGUAACCUGCCCUUGACUCUGGGAUAACUGCUAGAAAUGGUAGCUAAUACCGGAUACGACCCUCGGCGGCAUCGCCAGGGGGUGGAAAGAAUUUCGGUCAAGGAUGGACUCGCGGCCUAUCAGCUAGUUGGUGAGGUAAUGGCUCACCAAGGCGACGACGGGUAGCCGGCCUGAGAGGGUGACCGGCCACACUGGGACUGAGACACGGCCCAGACUCCUACGGGAGGCAGCAGUGGGGAAUAUUGCACAAUGGGCGCAAGCCUGAUGCAGCAACGCCGCGUGAGGGAUGACGGCCUUCGGGUUGUAAACCUCUUUUAGUAGGGAAGAAGCGAAAGUGACGGUACCUGCAGAAAAAGCACCGGCUAACUACGUGCCAGCAGCCGCGGUAAUACGUAGGGUGCAAGCGUUGUCCGGAAUUAUUGGGCGUAAAGAGCUCGUAGGCGGUUUGUCGCGUCUGCUGUGAAAUCCCGAGGCUCAACCUCGGGCCUGCAGUGGGUACGGGCAAACUAGAGUGUGGUAGGGGAGAUUGGAACUCCUGGUGUAGCGAAGGAAUGCGCAGAUAUCAGGAAGAACACCGAUGGCGAAGGCAGAUCUCUGGGCCAUUACUGACGCUGAGGAGCGAAAGCGUGGGGAGCGAACAGGAUUAGAUACCCUGUAGUCCACACUGUAAACGAUGAUAACUAGGUGUUGGCUUUUCGGAGUCAGUGCCACAGCGAAAGCGUUAAGUUAUCCACCUGGGGAGUACGCC